rnacentral:lncRNA from 1 species
AAUCUGUUUAGAACUCUGGACUUGGUGGGAUAAACCUUCAUUUCUUUGCAGGGAAAGGUCCACGUCUGCAAAUGAUAAUGUACCUGGAUUGCCCAGAACUUCCAGGGAGGUGGUUCUGAUUCCCCGGGGCCUUGGGCCCCUUGGUGAAGCUAAUUCAAGCUACAGGCCGUCUCCCCAGGAAAGGACUCAGAGAUCCCCAGGUGCAAAGUCGGCGGAGUCCCAUGGGCCUGAGUCCCUCCUGGGCCCCGGCUUAAAGAGCCCCCUUCUGAGCCCGUGUUCCCCUGACUCGGCGCCAGCAUGGAUGGGGAAACGAGGAAGCCUUGCGUUUCAGUUUCAUAAAGUCGGCUUUGUCACUCUGUGUCUGUUCCCUAUAUGGUUAAAAUCUAUUUUAAGAUUAGAUCAUCUUUAAAUAGAUCUACUUUCUUAGUCUGCUUGGGCUACUGUAGCAAAAAUGCCACAGACUGGGCGGUUUAAACGGCAGAGAUUUAUUCCUCAAGUUCCGAAGGCUGGACGUCAAGGCGCAGCCGAUUUAGCUCCUGAUGAGGUUGUCUUGCCUUCUCUCUGUGUCUCCCCAAGAGACGGGAGGCAGGGAGGGGAGGGAGGGAGAGGAAGAGGCUCUGGGGUCCUUUGCUGCUUCUCUGGAGAACCCCAACUUGCAUGGAUGGCAAAGAGACAGGGGAAGCGCCCCCUCGGGUCUCCCAGCUGGAUUGCCUUCCCUCUGCGGGCGGGACGCCUUCAAUGCUGGAGACGCCUCGCUGGCGAUCCAUCCACCGGCUCUUGUCUGUUCUGAACGAGCUGCCACGAACAUGCACGGACAAGUCUCUGCGUGGACACGUGUUUCCAUUUCUCUGGUAAAGACCCAGGAGCCGGGUUGCUGGGUGGUAGAGCGCAGGCGUCUCUAUCGGGGACCACCGAGCUGUUUUCCUAAAGGGCUGCCCCUCGUGACCCCAUCGGCAAUGCCCCGCACCCAGGUGUUUGCAUCCCUGCGGUAUUUGGUUGUUGGUCUCUGAUUUUGGCCACAUUAGUGGGGGUGGGGGCGGGGUAAGGGGCUCUCAUGGUGGUGUUUUGUUUGUUUGUUUGUUUGCUGCACCUGCAGCAGUUGAAAUUUCCUGGGCCAGGGAUGGCACCCGCACCAUAGCAGCGACCCAAGCCGUGCAAUGAAAACGCCAGAUCCUUAACCCGCUGAGCAACAGGAAAAUCCCUUACGGUGGUUUUAACGUGCCUUUUCCUAAAGCCCAAUGAUACUGAGCAUCUUUUCAUUGGCUUGUUCCCUGCAUUUCUUUGCUGAGCGUCUGCUCAAGUCAUUUGCCCAUUAAAAUAAAAACAAAAAACAACAACA